UUUGUCGACUGUUUCUUUUGUAGUGCAAAAGAUUUUUGUCUGGAUGAAGUCCCAAUAGUUCAUUUUUGCCUUUGUUUCCCUUGCCUUUGGAGACUGUCUGGCAAGAAGUUGCGGUGGCUGAGGUCAUAGAAGUUGCUGCCUGUGUUCUUCU